GGCUGCAAUGACGUCAUGCAGUUAACCUGCAUUGGGGCGGGUCCUUAAGGAAUUGUUAACAUUCGGAGCUGUGGCUGUCACCUCCAAGGAGACCCCGGUGCCCUUCUCAGCAGGAUCUGUGCAGGGAUGUGUUGCGGGACAAUCAGAGGAACCUGGCCUGCCUUGGUUGGGACAGUAGGUCUGAAAUCAAACAGACAAUCCCAAAGCUGGACAUUUCUUUGGAGGAAUUAAGGCCAGGUCUUAUAAGGGAUGGUUCUUGGACCCGUGAAGUUGAGUCAAAUCUGGAAUUAGGCCCAACUAGUGGAAAUAAUAAAUGGAAUGUAAUGAAUGUGGCAAGACUUUCAGCCAGGGAGAAUUAUCUUACUCAGUACAGGAAAAAUCCUUAUGGGGAGAAACUUCCAAAUGAAUUAGACUGUGGGAAGGCCUUCUGCUGGAAGACAGACCUCAUUUGAUAUCAGAUGAUCCAUACUGUGAAAUAUACUAAGAAUGUAAUGACUAUGGGAAGAUUUUCUGCCUGACUACAGCUCUGAAUUUACAUUGAAGAAUUGUUAUUGGAGGAAAAUCUUAUUAGUGUAAUAAUUUGUAAAGGCCUUUGCCUGGAAUCAAAGAACUUACUCAAAAAUCAAAAGAUUCAUACCGGACACAAACCUUCUAAGUGCAGUGAAGGUG
rnacentral:lncRNA from 1 species